UUCUGUUUCUUUUAAAGUACGUCGGUCUAAUAAAAAAGACUAAUCUCUUUAAAAUAUAAAUCGCCUCAAUAUCAAGAAUUAAAAAAAAAAUAAUUUUUUUUUAAUUUCGGUUUUUUUUAAUAAAAAACAAGGUGUUGUAUCAAAAAAUAUUGAAACGUGAGCAUUAAACCGACUAGAGCUUGCUAGUAAUACACUGGUGCUAAGCGGUGCAAUAGCCUGGCUUCAUAAAAAAUUGCGCUCCAAUGGUAUGCAAAACGUUAUCAGCGUUUUUUCAGUACUUUUUAGCUUUUUUUUUUAAAACUGAAAAAAUACGAGUGUUACUGUUAAAAAAGGAAAAGGAACCUUCGAAACAAGUAGUUACUCGUAGUACUCUUUUUUCUGUUAAGUAUCGAUGAAGAACUGGUUGAAAAAUAAAGAUGCAAAACACCGCGACAUCCGGAAGUUUUGAAACCUCGUCAUCUGCCUCAAGAGGUUGGUGACAAUCUCGAACGCGACUUUUUUAAUACGGUUGUGGGCUUCAAUCAGCAGUUUCUCAAAGUAAAGUGCGUCACAACUCUACUAGCGUGGCACUGAGAACGUAGUGAUUGCAUAGAGAGCAUUUGUGACUGGUUAUUAUUAGAGAAGGGCGUUUUGUAAGAAUAUGGUACAAGUUAGGAUUUUUGUGUCGUAUAAAAAAAAAAACAUACUUUAUUUUUUCGGUUUCUUUGUGCAUAUCUUGUAAGAAAUGGCGGAUCUAAAGAAAAGUACAAUUUAAAAAAAAGAAAAACGUUUUGUUAAUGUUCAAAACAAGUUUUCUACUAAGGUAACAAAAGUUUGUUUACUAGGUUUCUGUCAGGGAUGGUAUGAAGGCACCAGACGCCCGUUGAAAGAUUACAAUAAUUUUAUAAUUAAAAAAAAAAACAGGAACGUUCACGAUGACAGAAUGUAUUUAAAUUUUGAAUGUGUUCAACUGUAAAAACUACUGUGGCAUUCGAGAGCAGAGAUGCCAACUUUAAGCUUUUUAUUAUACUGAGCUGAUGGAUGCAGAUAUGCGCUUUCUUGAAGUACAAGGCAACUACUAAUGGUUCAUUAAGAGCAAAUCUGUUAGUUCAUGUUGAAAAGACGCCUUUGGAGGUAAAAUAAUUUAACAAAACCAUAAAAUGUUCAGUAAUAACACAGCAAAACCUGAAUAUAAUUCUCAGGAGAAUGGCGCAAAAAGGUGGAAAGCAGUGGGUCUUAUUAAAGAAAAUAGAAAAAUGGAAUUGUUAAAGUUUCUUUUAGCUGAGCGUAGAAUGACAAAUGUUUAUUUUCUCACGAAUUAAAAUGUUUCGUUGUUUUGUUUGUUCUAAACAGUGAUUAGUACUGAUUUAAGAUUAUUAAAAAAGAAUAUUUGGUAGACUAAAAUUGAAAGGUUUAAUAAUGGGAAUGAUUAUCCAUGUCCAACAUAAAACAAAAAAGCAGUAAAAACAAUAUUAUAAUUUCCCCAAAAUAUUGGUAAAGAUAUUGCUUUAAGAAUUUAGGAACUUAAAAUUGUUUUUUCUUUUCCCGUUCGAAAAUCUACGAAGGUGUGAAAAAGUUUUUUUUUUCUCUCUUAAUGAAAAUAUUUGAACGUACCGUCCUGGCUAACCCACAUGCGGCGCUCACUUAGCGCUAAUAGAC